UCCGUCCGUCAAGACAUUAAAAUAUAAAAAAAAUAGGUAAAUCAUACAGGUGUGUUCACAGAUGACCGCCAUGGUCUGUAGUAGACCAUGGGUUUAGUCCAAGGUUUCUUCUAUCUGCUCUUAGCUAUUCUCACAUCACUGUCCAGUGCUUUUGGUUGUACGAGGAAGGUAUACAUCGCCUGCAGGAAACCUGCGCCUUGUGGAAAGUAGAUCUUGAUAUAAUAUGGCUAAAGCGGAUUGGACAUUUCUCUACACGAUGGUCUUCGCUCUGUUCUCAAUGUUUGGAACAAGCUUAGCCUGUUGCAAGAAAAAAAUUCCAUGUACCGGGCGUGCGCCAUGUAGGAGAGGACCUUUCCGAAACUAGCCUUAAAAUCACCUAAUUUUCGGCACAAGGUGAUAAUUAUUCGUGCAUAGAAGACUAGUGAAUGAAUCCCUCAUUCAUAUUUAAAGAAAAUAUGUCAGACCAGUCCAAGAUACAUAUUUCAACAUACACGAGAACACAUAUGAUCCUGGAUUUGCUAUUGGAGUCUCGAAAACUUUUGCAAGAAUUUCAUAGAUUUACAAAUGUAACCAAUGUGCUUAAUG